rnacentral:rRNA from 1 species
GCCCAACCGUAAAAUAACUCACAUCCACCAACCGCCAGGGUAUUACGAGCUUUAGCUUAAAACCCAAAGGACUUGACGGUGUCCCAUCCACCUAGAGGAGCCUGUUCCAUCAUCGAUAUAUCCCGCUCGCUACUACCUAACCACCCCUUGCCAAUCAGUCUGUAUACCUCCGUCGUAAACUUACCAUGUGAGUGCUCACAGUAAGUUUAAUGGCCACCAUCACCAAUACGUCAGGUCAAGGUGCAGCUUAUGGGGCGGCAGGCAAUGGGCUACAAUUUCUAUACUAGAACAAACUAAACGCUGCAUGAAAUACAGCCACGAAGGCGGAUUUAGUAGUAAAAAGAAAAUAGUGUGUUCUUUUUAACAUGGCCUGGGACGUGUACACACCGCC